AUUAGAUUAAAAACCAAUGCCCUUCGGGGCUCUCUGGUGAUUCAUGAUAACUUCUCGAAUCGCAUGGCCUUGCGCCGGCGAUGGUUCAUUCAAAUUUCUUCCCUAUCAACUUUCGGUGUUUGGGUAUUGGCCAAACAUGGUUGCAACGGGUAACGGAGGGUUAGGGCUCGACCCCGGAGAAGGAGCCUGAGAAACGGCUACUACAUCCAAGGAAGGCAGCAGGCGCGCAAAUUACCCAAUCCCGACUCGGGGGGGUAGUGACAAUAAAUACUGAUACAGGGUUCUUUCGGAUCUUGUAAUUGGAAUGAGUACAAUUUAAAUCCCUUAACGAGGAACAAUUGGAGGGCAAGUCUGGUGCCAGCAGCCGCGGUAAUUCCAGCUCAAUAGCGUAUAUUAAAGUUGUUGUGGUUAAAAAGCUCGUAGUUGAACCUUGGGCCUGGCUGGCCGGUCCGCCUCACCGCGUGUACUGGUCCGGCCGGGCCUUUCCCUCUGUGGAACCCUAUGCCCUUCACUGGG
rnacentral:rRNA from 1 species